rnacentral:pre_miRNA from 1 species
AUUUUGACUCUUUAUCUUAUUUUAAAUGUUUUUGUGAUUAAUAUUUUUAUUGUUAUUAGAUGUUAAAAUAUGAAUAAUAUUUUAUGCAUAACUAAUUUUUUUAAAUUUCUGUACAAAUUUUUUAAAUAAGACAAAUAGUUAAAGU